rnacentral:lncRNA from 1 species
GGGCCAAUGAUGACGAGGUUUCGGGAUUAUAAGUCACGGACGAUGACUACGUCACUAGAGGUCUGAGGUCCAUAGCAGAAGAUGCCUCAUGUGACCCUCUCAUGCAGGGGUUGCAUGUCAGGCAUGUGCAUACAGUAGAUAUUAGCCAUGCACUCUCACCAUUUCAUAGUAGAUCACAGAAUCAAGAUACAAAUCUCCAUGCACGGAAAGGAUUUAAGGCAUUGAUCAAUCCUGAACAUAAAUAUUUGGCCAUCAAUGAUAUUUACGCACACACUGAAAAAUCUAUUCAGAAUGACUUACACAAAGGUUUAUAUAACCUUUAUCAAAGGUAAUUUAUAUAGUAAGAUUCAUGGCUGAAGUCUUCAUGAUGGUCAAGGCCUUAAUUUUUAAAAUUAUCAAUUUUUUUCUUUUCUUUUUUUUUAACUUGAAUUUUUUUUUAAUGAAAACUAUCAUGACAAUUUGUCUCUUAAAUGAAAGGAGAAAUGUAAAACUAAAUGGACAAAUAUCAACCUUUUUAUUAUCUUUGCUGUUGUGCCCUCCCUGGAUGGGUGCUGGCACAUGAUGUCUUGCCUGCUGGUCCGUGGUUGCACUCUCACCAUGUGGAUGGAGCUCGGCAGCUGAAAAUGCAUUCUUCCACCAAGAUGAUUUACACAGCCUAGCUGGAUCAGGAGCCCCCUAAUAAGCUGCUUCAGAUUGUAAUAUAGACACAGUAAUGUAUGCCUGCAGGAUGAGUCCCACCUUCUUCAUUAGUCUUGAGGUUUGAGAUUCCCUGUUUGUGUCUGCAGGAUUCAGAUAGUAAUGGAUAUCCUGCAAGUCGGCUUCGUAGAGUCUCCCUUGAAAGUGGACCUCAUGAUCUAGCCUUUAUGUCCGUGGAUUGACACUGUGAUGGAUUCCCCCCAAGUUCAUUUAGAUAUUCUCUCUUAUUCAUAAAUGUCACGGUCAGCUCUGUUCUUAUAGAUACCAGAAUGGAUACCCCAAGAAUGGAUACCCCUAAGCUGAUGUAUAUACACCCUUCCUCGGUUGUGAGAUUCCUGCUCUGGUGGUUGUAGUCAUAAGAUAUACAUCGUUGCGUACACCUUGGUUGUGGGCACGCACACUACUGUUGAAUUACCACCUUGUCCAAGUGGAUGGAUGCCCUCAAUGGGAUUGGCACUUUCUCCAUUGCUCCUGCACUCUGUUAUCAGCACUUCGGGUUCAUAAUGUACACACAGCAAUGGAUUUUCUGCAGCUGAUUUUCUAUAUUCUGUUUUCUUCGGGUAAGCAGAAACAGAUGCCUUCCUCACUGGUCACCAGGUUCAAGGUCCCUCAUAUGUGUCAGGUGCAUAGUCACCAACAAAGGCCAACUUCACAUCAAUGGGUGGAUCGUACCUCGGCCUAAGCUCCAGGAUUGAUUGUGCUGUUAGAGUCACAGCUACAACCGGCUCAGGGAACCCAGUGGAAGAGGAGGUGGAGUGUGAGAGCCAAUUGGAAUGGAAGACAGUGAGGAAACAAGGCCUUCGAGACACAAGAGGACUGCUGAGCUCACAAAGACUGAGGCAGCACCCUCAGGACCUGCACAGGUCUAAGCUUGAUGCGAUCUGAGUACUGAGAGGGCAACUGGACACAAUUCUAUAUUGAUAACCCAGAAGCUUUCUCCAGUUGAUAAACUCUUUCAAAGGAAAAACUUGUUUUCUACCAUGGAGUGACACUGGAUAUAGAAACUACCGUUAACAGCAGACUCCAUGGCUCAGACUUCCAAUACAAUAUGAACUCAGUUGCAAUUUUUUGCAAGGUUUUUCGACUCAUAGUUCUUUGUCUGGGUACUUUUUCACCCUACAGAGAAUUUCUGUAUAUAUUAUCGUUUCUGAUUCUAGUGUUUUGAAUUUUCGCUGGGUCUAAAUAUCUCUGUCUCAGUGUCAGUAUGUGUUUCUCAUGAUUUUUCUUUGCUUCUCUUUUUCCUAUUCUUUGCUUGUAUUCCCUGGUUUGUGUUUGAGUGUCUGGGAACUCUGAGGGUCUGGUUGGUGAUAUUGUUGUUCUUCCUAUGGGGUUGAAAACCCCUUCAGCUCCUUCAGCCUUUCACUAAGUCCUCCAUUAUUAUGAUUCCUAUGCUCAGUCCAGUGGUUGGAUGUGAGCCCCCCCCCCCCUCUGCAUUUGUCAGGCUCCGGCAGAGCCUCUAAGGAGAUAGCUAUAUUAGGCUCUUGUCAGCUUUGUUUGUUUUUAUUCUGUCUUCUCUAUACUGUUUAUUUUAGAUAACUGUGUUUAUUCUAAUGUAUGAAUGAAUAAAUGGGUGUGUGUUUGGGUGGGUGGGGAAUUGGGGAGGGUGGGGGUGGAUGUGGGAGGGGAAACUGUAACACAAAUACAUUGUAUAAAAGUACAUUUUAAUAAAUGUAUUUCUUCUAUGACUAAAAAAA